rnacentral:piRNA from 1 species
UGGUCCCCUGUGGUGUAAAAUGUACGG